UACGGAGGAUGCAAGCGUUAUCCGGAUUUAUUGGGUUUAAAGGGUGCGCAGGUUGUUUGAUAAGUCAGUGGUGAAAGUCUGUCGCUUAACGGUAGGAUUGCCAUUGAUACUGUUGGACUUGAAUAUGGAUGAGGUAGGCGGAAUGUGUAGUGUAGCGGUGAAAUGCAUAGAUAUUACACAGAACACCGAUUGCGAGGGCAGCUUACUAAUCCAUCAUUGACGCUGAGGCACGAAAGCGUGGGGAGUCAAACA
rnacentral:rRNA from 1 species